rnacentral:lncRNA from 1 species
UUCCAGUGCUCAUAUUUGCUGAAAUGAACACUAAGUGGCCCAUGGCUGAUUUACCACCAAAAUUCAGCAGCAGCAGGCACAGGAAUGAGGCUGCGGGACACGGUGACACGGUGAUAUACCGUAGGAACCAGGCCUGCAGUAAUAUUUGGUGCUGCCCGACGUGAUCUGCACUCUCUGACGUGUCCUGCACGCUGCGAGCCAAGCCGAAUUCCUGUAGAGGUACGCUGUUCCUUUUUCCCCCCGGGACCGGG